rnacentral:tRNA from 1 species
CAAUGCGAUGCUCUACCUCUGAGCUAAGUGGGC